AUUGAACGCUGGCGGCAUGCCUUACACAUGCAAGUCGAGCGGCAGCACGGGAGCAAUCCUGGUGGCGAGUGGCGAACGGGUGAGUAAAGUAUCGGAACGUGCCCAGUCGUGGGGGAUAACGUAGCGAAAGUUACGCUAAUACCGCAUACGAUCUAUGGAUGAAAGCGGGGGAUCGCAAGACCUCGCGCGAUUGGAGCGGCCGAUAUCAGAUUAGGUAGUUGGGGGGGUAAAGGCUCACCAAGCCGACGAUCUGUAGCUGGUCUGAGAGGACGACGAGCCACACUGGGACUGAGACACGGCCCAGACUCCUACGGGGGGCAGCAGUGGGGAAUUUUGGACAAGGGGCGAAAGCCUGAUCCAGCCAUGCCGCGUGCAGGAUGAAGGCCUUCGGGUUGUAAACUGCUUUUGUACGGAACGAAAAGGUUUGGCCUAAUAAGCUGAGCUCAUGACGGUACCGUAAGAAUAAGCACCGGCUAACUACGUGCCAGCAGCCGCGGUAA
rnacentral:rRNA from 1 species